GUCUACAGCCAUGCCACCCCGAACAAGCCCGAUCCCGUCUGAUCUCAGAAGCUAAGCAGGGUCGAGCCUGAUUAGUACUUGGAUGGGAGACCACCUAGGAAGACCAGGUGCUGUAGGCA
rnacentral:rRNA from 1 species